GGGUUGAGGAGGGGAGACAGAAGAAACCUCCUAUUCUGGCAUGGAUUACGGCGACAGCUUGGGAUAGGAUAGGUGAAGAAGGGGAAGUGAGAGGAGGGGCUAGACCUCUCCGUGGGCAUGCGUCGGCAGUUGCGGCGGAGCAGCACUGUGCGAGGCCGUGGUGGGGCAGAGCGGGCUUCCGUGGGUCCUCGACGCGGAACUGCAGGAGAUGGAGGUGCCGUUGGCCGAGCUCGACCUCGCGGGGCCUCGGCGGCGGUACCUGGGGAGGAGAAGCUGGUCCCUGCAGACGAGGCGGAGCAGCUAGACGAUGGAGGCCAGGAGGGGCUUGGUGGGGCUCGAGCGGUGGCGGAAUGGGAGCUGAUGCUCUGGCUGCGGCGACGACCACGGGGCUGGCUGAUGCAACAACUACUGGGGAUGAACGGUCUCGUUGGUCUACGGCCUCGGGUCCUCGGUCUGCGGUGAUGGCGGCUGCUGAGGAUGAUGUGACCUCCACGGAUGAUGAUACACAUCCGGCGACUACUGCUGGUCCUCAUCAAAUCCUCCUAGGGUCCGUCCUCCGGACGCGGAGAAAGCUAGACAUAGAGUCAAACACGAUCGGUAGAAUACCGUUGAACAACUUGAAUACAGACAUCAGUCUAUAACAACGAAGGCGACUGAGCAGAUACUAGCUCGUGAACAUAAACUCGGGAGCUCUGGGACCGAACACAAUACUACGAACAUACUGAAUAAAUACAAAAUUUCAAC
rnacentral:rRNA from 1 species